AGAGUUUGAUCCUGGCUCAGGACGAACGCUGGCGGCGCGCCUAACACAUGCAAGUCGAACGAGCGAGAGAGAGCUUGCUUUCUCGAGCGAGUGGCGAACGGGUGAGUAACGCGUGAGGAACCUGCCUCAAAGAGGGGGACAACAGUUGGAAACGACUGCUAAUACCGCAUAAGCCCACGGGUCGGCAUCGACCAGAGGGAAAAGGAGCAAUCCGCUUUGAGAUGGCCUCGCGUCCGAUUAGCUAGUUGGUGAGGUAACGGCCCACCAAGGCGACGAUCGGUAGCCGGACUGAGAGGUUGAACGGCCACAUUGGGACUGAGACACGGCCCAGACUCCUACGGGAGGCAGCAGUGGGGAAUAUUGCACAAUGGGGGAAACCCUGAUGCAGCGACGCCGCGUGGAGGAAGAAGGUCUUCGGAUUGUAAACUCCUGUUGUUGAGGAAGAUAAUGACGGUACUCAACAAGGAAGUGACGGCUAACUACGUGCCAGCAGCCGCGGUAAAACGUAGGUCACAAGCGUUGUCCGGAAUUACUGGGUGUAAAGGGAGCGCAGGCGGGAAGACAAGUUGGAAGUGAAAUCUAUGGGCUCAACCCAUAAACUGCUUUCAAAACUGUUUUUCUUGAGUAGUGCAGAGGUAGGCGGAAUUCCCGGUGUAGCGGUGGAAUGCGUAGAUAUCGGGAGGAACACCAGUGGCGAAGGCGGCCUACUGGGCACCAACUGACGCUGAGGCUCGAAAGUGUGGGUAGCAAACAGGAUUAGAUACCCUGGUAGUCCACACCGUAAACGAUGAUUACUAGGUGUUGGAGGAUUGACCCCUUCAGUGCCGCAGUUAACACAAUAAGUAAUCCACCUGGGGAGUACGACCGCAAGGUUGAAACUCAAAGGAAUUGACGGGGGCCCGCACAAGCAGUGGAGUAUGUGGUUUAAUUCGAAGCAACGCGAAGAACCUUACCAGGUCUUGACAUCCGAUGCAUAGCACAGAGAUGUGUGAAAUCCUUCGGGACAUCGAGACAGGUGGUGCAUGGUUGUCGUCAGCUCGUGUCGUGAGAUGUUGGGUUAAGU
rnacentral:rRNA from 1 species